rnacentral:rRNA from 1 species
UACGAAGGGGGCUAGCGUUGCUCGGAAUCACUGGGCGUAAAGCGCACGUAGGCGGAUCUUUAAGUCAGGGGUGAAAUCCUGGAGCUCAACUCCAGAACUGCCUUUGAUACUGAGGAUCUUGAGUCCGGGAGAGGUGAGUGGAACCCCGAGUGUAGAGGUGAAAUUCGUAGAUAUUCGCAAGAACACCUGUGGCGAAGGCGGCCCCCUGGGCCGGCCCUGACACUGAGACGCGAAGGCGUGGGGAGCGAACGGG